GGAAACACAGUAUAAAAGAGGGUCUCAUCCCCACAACCAAAUUCAUCUGGAGGGGAGGGACCAAGAGCAGGUCUUCUUUGGCUUCUGGGCUCACCUGAUACCUGAAGACUGUAGAUCCCAGAGACUGCCUGUCAAGAAAGACUUCUUGCUCAUUUCCCUACAGUAACACAUCAAAUCUGUGGUCAUGAAGAUCCUUUACCUGCUCUUUUCUCUCCUCUUUUUGGCACUUCAAAUUUCUCCAGGUUUGUCUUCACCCCGGCGGGACAUGUUUCUCUGUAGAAAAGGGUCCUGUUACUUUGGAAGAUGCCCCAUCCAUCUGGUCAGAGUUGGAACUUGCUUUGGGUUCCGCUCCUGCUGCAAAUCGUGAGUUUGGCAUUCACCAAGACUUAUCUGCAGUAUGAUCAGACAAAUCUAUUUUGCCUGUGUCCUUAACCCCAAGGUGCUAAUGAACAUUCAAAUUGCUGAGUGAGGAAAAAUACCUAACAUGCCAUGAGGACAGCCAAGUUUUGAAGUAGGUUGAGCUGCAUGGUUCUCUUUCUCUCAAGAAGUGCAUCAUGAUCUGCCCCAGCGAGAGUGAUACAGUGCUGUUGGAGAUGUCAGUCUUGUGCUGUUGCAGCUCUGCGUAACCCUUUGCAGCUCCUGUGCCAGAGGAAAAUAUCAGGGUUUGGUAUUUGCAGAACUGGACUUCUAUGGGCAACAGAGAGGAAUUCAGCUACGGUGCAGGGUGAAAACAGGUAUCUGAGUGUCAUCAAAUGUGUGCAAAAAGUGCAACAGUGUGGUAAAAUGAAAUUAUCAUAUGAGAGGUAGCAUUCUGUUUUCAUUCAAGAACAAAUGCAUUCACCCCUGUAUAAAGGGACACCAAUUUAAUUCCCUGCUUUUCCUGAAACAAUAGGAAAACACUCUUCUUACUCAUAGGGAUGAGUGCACAGGACUGUCCCAGCAUGGCUACACAUAACAUUAGGCCAUGGGAUGCAUAAAAACUUCAUGGACAACCCAUUCAAGAGUGAUGAGAAUUUCUUCUAAACCUAGGCAUUUGCUUCGAACCCCCUUACUGCCAAAACCACUGAAUCCUGCUACGAAGCCUCAUGCACCUUUCAUUUUUAAUGCAAAAAAGCUUUAUGAUGCAGAGUAAAUCCAAAUGUAUUCUUCAUUGCUUUCCCUCUUGUUUCGAAUAAAUUGUUGUUGCUUAGCAUUCACA